UACGUAGGGGGCUAGCGUUGUCCGGAAUCAUUGGGCGUAAAGAGCGUGUAGGCGGCCCGGUAAGUCCGCUGUGAAAGUCGGGGGCUCAACCCUCGAAUGCCGGUGGAUACUGUCGGGCUAGAGUGCGGAAGAGGCGAGUGGAAUUCCUGGUGUAGCGGUGAAAUGCGCAGAUAUCAGGAGGAACACCGGUGGCGAAGGCGGGUCUCUGGGCCGAUACUGACGCUGGAGGAGCGAAAGCGUCGGGGAGCAAACAGG
rnacentral:rRNA from 1 species